AGGGAUGUAGCUCAGCGGUAGAGUGCUUGCCUUGCAAGCAUGAGGUACUAGGUUCAAUCCUUGGCACCACAU
rfam:Ictidomys tridecemlineatus contig124162, whole genome shotgun sequence.